rnacentral:lncRNA from 1 species
GAAAAUAAAAGAAAAACAAAUCAAAAUAACAAAAAUAAAGAGUUCUGCACCACAUUUUCCCAAAAUCCCUCAAAUCUCUUCCAAAACCGUCCAACCACUCCCAUCCAAAUCCCUUAAUUUUCUCUCCACACUUCCCACUACACCUCUACCACUUCGGCAUUUCAGUUCAGCUCAAACACUACACGACACUACUAGCAAAAAUAAUACUUAAGCAC